AGUCAACCUACCCUAUGGACGGGAAUAACCUCGGGAAACUGAGAAUAAUGCCCGAUAGAACAUUAUGCCUGGAAUGGUUUAUGUUCCAAAUGAUUCAUCGCCGUAGGAUGGGACUGCGGCCUAUCAGUUUGUUGGUGAGGUAAUGGCCCACCAAGACUAUUACAGGUACGGGCUCUGAGAGGAGUAGCCCGGAGAUGGGUACUGAGACACGGACCCAGGCCCUAUGGGGCGCAGCAGGCGAGAAAACUUUGCAAUGUGCGAAAGCAUGACAAGGUUAAUCCGAGUGGUUUCUGCUAAAGGAACCUUUUGUCGGUCCUAGAAACACCGAUGAAUAAGGGGUGGGCAAGUUCUGGUGUCAGCCGCCGCGGUAAAACCAGCACCUCAAGUGGUCAGGAUGAUUAUUGGGCCUAAAGCAUCCGUAGCCUGCUUUGUAAGUUUUCGGUUAAAUCCAUGUGCUCAACACAUGGGCUGCCGGGAAUACUGCACAGCUAGGGAGUGGGAGAGGUAGACGGUACUUGAUAGGAAGGGGUAAAAUCCUUUGAUCUAUUGAUGACCACCUGUGGCGAAGGCGGUCUACCAGAACACGUCCGACGGUGAGGGAUGAAAGCUGGGGGAGCAAACCGGAUUAGAUACCCGGGUAGUCCCAGCUGUAAACUAUGCAAACUCAGUGAUGCAUUGGCUUGUGGCUAAUGCAGUGCU
rnacentral:rRNA from 1 species